rnacentral:lncRNA from 1 species
AACCUCGAUAAGGAGGAGAGAGAGAUUCCUCCAACAAUGAAGGCUAGAAUGUAACCCACCGGUCUACAUAGCUAGGCCUAAUAAACAUAGAUUUUGACUAGCAGCCUACGGACUCAACCUCCAAAUAAAAGAGGUAGGAAUAUAUCUGGUAUCAUCAAGAAUAUGUGGGUUUGGCAAGACUAACAAUAGAUUGGUGAGAGAGAGAGAAAUAGGGGAUUUGGGAGCUAGAGUGUCUUGGCUUGAUGGUGGGGAGUGACAAGGAAGCUGGAUGCUUGGGGAUAGUGGAG